GGGGAAUCUUGCGCAACGGGCGAAAGCCUGACGCAGCCAUGCCGCGUGGAUGAUGAAGGUCUUAGGAUUGUAAAAUCCUUUCACCGGUGAAGAUAAUGACUGUAGCCGGAGAAGAAGCCCCGGCUAACUUCGUGCCAGCAGCCGCGGUAAUACGAAGGGGGCUAGCGUUGCUCGGAAUUACUGGGCGUAAAGGGAGCGUAGGCGGACAUUUAAGUCAGGGGUGAAAUCCCGGAGCUCAACUUCGGAACUGCCUUUGAUACUGGGUGUCUUGAGUGUGAGAGAGGUAUGUGGAACUCCGAGUGUAGAGGUGAAAUUCGUAGAUAUUCGGAAGAACACCAGUGGCGAAGGCGACAUACUGGCUCAUUACUGACGCUGAGGCUCGAAAGCGUGGGGAGCAAACA
rnacentral:rRNA from 1 species